rnacentral:lncRNA from 1 species
ACCCGGGGGUGUGCCUGUGGCGGGGGAUGCAGGCAGCGUUUGGGGUGAUUUCCAGCGUUGCUGGGUCUGCUCCAGCCUCCGCUGGGCAGGUAGGUGUGCCGAGUGCCCCACCGGAGCAUCGCGAAGGUGACCGGGUCUGGGAGCAGGGUGUGAUGCUGAAAAGAAGGUCCCCGUUUGGGAGCCCAGAGGUGCCUUUGUCCCUUGUCCUUUCUGGGACUGCCAGAGGAGGGAUGCCCGUGCAUGGCCCACACCCUGAUUCGGCGGGGGGGGUGUGCCUGGAUGCUGGUGGGGAGCUCGAGGUCCCAACAGUGCGACAGAGGUGUGUGGUGACAGUACCUUGCCGGCCCACACAGUACUGUGCCCUGCCCCGCUGCCGCCUCUCCACGUUGGAGGGGGGGUGUAUGCACAUGUUGUUUUCAUCCUCGGUGUCUCUUAAGGUGCCACAAGCCGCUGGGCAAGGACUGCCCUUAAGCCGCACUUCUAGUGGCUUUGCCCCUUCGAAGAGCAGCGUUGGGCUGUGCAGGACCCUCACCACCUCCCACCACGGUCGCUGGGGUCCUGGUCAGCACUGUGUUGCGUCCCUUGCGCGGGACCGUGUUCCUGUGUGCAGCACAACUGGGCGUCCACAUCCCGGCGGGACCCUCUCCAGACCUGGUGCCGCUCCCCUCCCCCUCAUCAGGGAGACCCCAAGAUGCAGAUCCUCUGCAGCCGGGGAGAGAUGUCCUGCAAGGGGCUGUGGCAGGCGUGCGGAGCCUCCUGUGUGCUCCCUCCUGCUCCUGUGGAGCCGUGACCCCUCCACUGGCCAAGUUCCUGCUAUUGAUCUCUGGCUUGGAGUGCGCGGCAGCACCUUGGAGCAGAGGGAGGCAUUUAAUAAUGUCAGGCGUGGAUACGGCUCUUUAAUAAUGGAUGCUCCCACGUCUCGGCCAGGCCACAGCCUCUCCUUGCCUCGCUGUUUCUGUUUGCCCGGGCCCUGCGGGAGCCACAAAAUGCUCCUUCUCCCACCCAUUGUUCAUGUUCUUGUGGGGCCACUUCCAUGUAGGAUUUGGGGGAGCAACAGAGAUUGCGGGGGGGUG